AUAGAGGUCCAACAGGUCCGAGGGGCAUAGAGGGAUUGGAUGGCGUUCCGGGAUCUGCAGGUCCUGUUGGUACGCAAGGUCCGCACGGUCCGAAAGGAGUAAAAGGAGCCAUUGGAUUACCGGGAUCAAAGGGAGAGGCGGGACCGCAGGGCAUCCCUGGACCAGAGGUUCGAAAUUGAGCUGAAUUUCUAUUGUCAUGAUAAUGUUUGCUUUGGAUAGAUGAGUUUAGAUGUUUUAAAUCGCUAUUUUAACCCGGUCAAAGGACUAUUACAAUAGGUACAAGAACUGGAACAGUGGAAACAACAGGUAACAAAAUGUACUAUCUGAUCAACGGUCACGCCUCUCUUCUGUCAUUUUAAUUAAAGGAAAUCCAACGACUGAUAAAGUGUACUACAC